rnacentral:lncRNA from 1 species
CUCUCUCUCUCUCUCUGUGUGUGUGUGUGUGUGUGUGUGUGUGUGUGUGUUAUCAUGUAUAUUUUGUGGAUGUCAGAGGAUAACUCUAUUGAGGCAUUUCUCAAACCCCUAAAGGACCCAGAGAUUUAACUCUAUUUACUAUUCUUGGAAAAGUUUUAUAGGUGGAAGAACAUGAAGAAUCUGAGGCUGUGCCAGUCCAUGCUGGAGAAGUAUCUGACUGGACUGAGGAGUAGAAACCUUGGCCAUGGACCAUAAAUGUGCUGUUCUCCUUCUAUGGAUGACAGAAAAAUGGAAUCUUCUCUGUCCUUCAGAAUUUUCUUGGUUGUUGAUUUGGGAUCCUCAAUCUCUCAACUUAGUUCUCUAAUGUCAAGUAGUAUUGAAUCUUAGCAUCCUACUUUAUUUGCCCCUGUUAUUUCUGUCUACCUUUAUUUUGCCAGAACUUUGUAUGGCUAUGACAGUACUUUGUAUCACUUUAGGAUUGGCAAGGCCACAUCAGGGUAACCAGAGCCCUUACACAGGAUAGUCUUCUUGUAACACUAAUCUUGACUCAGUGGUGAGAGAGAACUUAAAACUCAGAGCAUGACCUGCCCCAGUGUGGUUCCUGAGCCUGGGAACUCAAAGCUCAACAGUCCAACCUCCUUCGUUUAUUCUGGGUUUGGACCUUUUGCAGUCUUUUCUUGUCAGUGUCAACAACUACUUCGGUAGUAGCUGGAAGUCCAGAAAUCAAGGGGUGGGCGUUUCUUGCAUGAUCUUGACCCAUGUUGGGUCUUCUAACUUCUGUCUCCACAUUCAACAUUAAAUAUACCACAUCUCUCCAAAGGUCAUGCCUGUUCCAGUAUCCUGAACUCAGUGAGGAGGUUGGACCAAGUGUCAAAGGAAUGAAGGUCAAGCUCUGGAUUUUAUCAGAGAGUCUGAGCAAGACCACUGAUGUUCUGGGAAAAACUUGACUUUCCAGUGGGAUCUUCAUCUGCUGUACAUAACCAACAACCUUUGCUGUGAUGAAAACCAGGUAGACAGAGAGUCCACAACGGGAAAUGGUUCCGAGGUCUACCACCUUAAUGCUUCCAAUUCUGCCUUCUAGGGAACGCUAACAAAUCUGCAUACUGCUAUGUUCCAGAGGAUGAUAAAAGGUGCUGCAGUUGGCAUGACUGCUGACAAGAGACACUCAGAGGUUCACUUCAAAUUCAAUAUUCAGAUCGUCUUCAUGGUCUUUUCUUAGUCUCCCCUUAGAGACAGAACUGAAAUUCACCAUGGACCACAUCUUUUACAUGAAGCUAUGGAGGAAGAAUCUUUUGGCCAUCAUCUUCAAGCCUGCAUGAGUUCAUAUUUGUGUCCCAGGCCUCGAGCUUUUGAGUCUCCAGGGGAAAACUUUUGGUGGAGUUGCUACAGGAUCUAUAUGCGAGUCUCUUUGUUUGCCUUCUGUACAUGGAUAACAGGGAGGAGAACAAAGACAUGGAGAUGUCAUGCUGUUACUUGUUCAAACAGUGCAGAAGGGCAGGCAACCAACACCAGACCUUCUGGGUGCUAGGACCCUGUCACUAUCCACGGGGUAUCUAGGAU